rnacentral:tRNA from 1 species
AGGUAUUUAGCUCAAUUGGUAGAGCAUUAACUUCAUACGUUAAUUGUUGUAGGUUCAAGUCCUCCAAUACCUA